AGCAGGCUGGAAAUGGGUUGGAGGUAGUAGUCACUGCAGCAAAGAGGUCAUCACCAAGGCCUUCGUCACAGAAGUCAAGAAUAUGGGCAGCUAUGGGGCUUGAAAUGCCCUCCUGUAAAUUUCAGAGGGGACAGAAAAGCAAAUACCAAUGGUCCUAGGAAAUGACUUAUUGCCAUUUCAAUUACAACCCUAUGAGCAUGAAUUGUUUGGUCAGAUUCAGAACAGAACAUCAUCGCAAACCUAGGAAGAAACAGAGCAAGAUCUGUGAUAGAGAAACAAUUACGGUGAUGCAAUCGUCAGGAAGCAUGGCGGGCACCGUCAAUCUUCACCGAAGAUAGUCAGAUUGGUGCGCGCACAGCUUCUUGGAAAAGUUUCCUCCAAUGUUACAUUGAUCCUUGAGAAGAGAGAUGGUUCUACUUGUGGCGGUAAACUCUGAAUCAGCAUAUGUGCGAGGAAGGUAGGCUAAUGAAAGAGAGGGGGACCGAAAAUAAGCCAGCUUGGCCAUGCAGAUGCACAUGACUAUUUUCCAGGAUGACGACAUCACAGAAGUCAGAACCCAGAAUUUUCCGUGCGACAAUCGCGGUCGGGAGGGAUACAGGGUAGAAACAAAGACAUAACCAAGAAGCUGUGCUUAUUUCUGGAAAGAAGUCUCAACGAAUUCGGUCACUCCUCGAAGCUGAUAGACCGGGGCGUGCGACGACCUCAUCUGAUGCAGUAUUUAGCAGGUAUGAAAUAUAUUUUCCUUCCAGCCUUUAUGACUUUGCAUGGGCGAGAUCUCCUUUUAGUCAUUAAUUUGACAAUAAGAAAAUUGUGGUAUACGGAUUUUAUGAAUAGACUACAUACAUCAUGCAGAGUUCAGUAAUUCUGCUGAGAGAAUAUUGUGUGUUGAUAAUUAAAAAGAUCUUGACUAGCGGUUUUUCUUGACACAAUGAUAGUAUGAUUCAAGGAAGCAAUACAAUGCAUCAUUCAGUGUCCAUACUUUUCCUAUUAGCAACACGCUAUACUCACUGCUCAGCUAGCGAUUCAGAUACACAUCAUGCAAGCAAGGAAACAUAGCAAAACAACUCUAACGAAGUGGUGCAUACAUGCAAUUUUUAAAUUAAAUCAAAGAGCUAUAUAUGUACUAAUAACAAAAAAAAAAGAACAGAAACAAUGAAACAGCUAGUCCUCAAGGUUGAAGCGACUUACAAUGCC